rnacentral:rRNA from 1 species
GUUAGGAAUAUUGGACAAUGGGCGCAAGCCUGAUCCAGCCAUGCCGCGUGAGUGAUGAAGGCCUUCGGGUUGUAAAGCUCUUUAGUCCACGAAUAUAAUGACUGUAGUGGAAGAAUAAGCCCCGGCUAACUUCGUGCCAGCAGCCGCGGUAAUACGAAGGGGGCGAGCGUUAUUCGGAAUCACUGGGCGUAAAGCGUGCGUAGGCUGUUUUGUAAGUCAGAAGUGAAAGCCCAGGGCUUAACCCUGGAAUUGCUUUUGAAACUACAAGACUCGAAUUCGGGAGAGGAUAGCGGAAUUGUCAGUGUAGCAGUGAAAUGCGUAGAUAUUGACAGGAACACCAGUGGCGCAAGCGGCUAUCUGUACCGAUAUUGACGCUGAGGCACGAAAGCGUGGGGAGCAAACAGGAUUAGAUACCCGUGUAGUCC